rnacentral:tRNA from 1 species
GGGCCUAUAGCUCAGAUGGUUAGAGCACACGCCUGAUAAGCGUGAGGUCAGUGGUUCGAGUCCACUUAGGCCCACCA